UUACCUUUCCGUGGUUUUCUACCCAGUAUCCGGUAGAUGUAAUCCCCUCCUUGACAGUUAUCAUUAUCCAAUAUUCGGUAUUGAUAAGUCCUUCACCCCCGGUGAUAUAUCUCUUGGAUGAUUGCUCUGAUCAGGCAGUUUAUCCCCAUCAAGUCAUUUUUCAUAUACCGAUUGCCGGUAAUGGUUGUUGCUCCCCUUGAAUGGUCA
rnacentral:lncRNA from 1 species